CAGCAGCCGCGGUAAUACGAAGGGGGCUAGCGUUGCUCGGAAUGACUGGGCGUAAAGGGCUCGUAGGCGGUUUGUUGCGUCGGGAGUGAAAACCAGGUGCUUAACACCUGGCCUGCUUUCGAUACGGGCAGACUAGAGGCAUUCAGGGGAGAACGGAAUUCCUGGUGUAGCGGUGAAAUGCGCAGAUAUCAGGAGGAACACCGGUGGCGAAGGCGGUUCUCUGGGAAUGUUCUGACGCUGAGGAGCGAAAGUGUGGGGAGCGAACAGGAUUAGAGACCCGCGUAGUCCCUGUCUCUUAUAC
rnacentral:rRNA from 1 species